ensembl:lncRNA
AGGAAUCAGAUCUGUAAAACAUAUUCAACCACAACCACAGGGGUAAUAUGAGCUGGAAAUCUACGCAUAUGUGCAGCGGGUCACGAGCCACUUUAAAUUAAAAAGCGCGGGAAUCCAGUUCUGAGGUAAACUGUUAAAUUUACCUCAGGACUGCGGAAGCUUCGCAUUCGGUUUUCAGAUAAAGUUUUGAGGGAAUUUGGACUGUUUGCUGUGAAGCUGUGUGCAGAUGGCUUGGAUGUAGUCGGAUGUUAGGCCAAUGCUGUUUCCUUCGUGCUUCAGACAACACAGCCAGCGCAACCUGGACACCAUUGUGAUUCUGGAGGAGCUUGUGAGUGCUGCCAGUCUGCUGUCACUGAUUCUGAACGCAGCGGCUGUGGGGCUGGUGCUGGUUCACACACGCCCAAAUCGAGGGCCCUACGCCGCACUGUUGUGCAGCCUCGCACUUUCGGAUGCCCUCACGAGCUCCACAUCAGUGUACGUGAGUGUGCGCACAGCACUGAGUCCUGCAAACUCUGUGAUCGCCACGGACGUACCACUGCCUGUCUACACCCUGCUGACCACUGGCAUCUUAUCAGGCACGUAUGGUGUCCUUUCCAUUGGCGUGGAGCGCCUCCUGGCGGUGUGCGGGGCACACAAGAGGCGUGUGCAGUUGAAGAGCCGUGUGCUGAAGGUGUUGGCCCUGUGCUGGACACUGGCGGUGGUCGUGGGAAGCCUGCCACUCUUCGGCUGGAACUGUGCAAUCAGUGGUGAGGCCUCGACGCUCUAUGGCCCACUGUGCAUCAACUACCUGCUCUUCGUGGUGGUCCCCAACACUAUGGUGGUCUUCGUGGUGUUGUCUGUGACCUAUGUAACCGUCAUUGUGAAGCUACGGGAGCUAAACUCCAGUAGGGCAAGCACCACGCGGGCCGAGGCACGCAUCACCAGGAUGGCCUGGAUCAUCUGGGGACUGGCCCUGGUGGCCUACACGCCCUUCCUGGCCGGGGUGCUCUGGGACGCGUCCCACAGUUCGUGCCCAGAGAAGCUAAAGACGAGCGUGAUUGUGUACAAGAAUGUGGCGUAUGCAUUCCUGGUGCUCAACUCUAUUGGAAACCCCAUCUUGUACACGUUCAGCUGCCCGGACGUGUGGCGCCUGGCGAAGUGGAGCCGCUGGAGGAGAUUUAGGAAAAUUAGGGCAAACAGGAUCAACGUGUGCGUGAACACUGUGUCAGACACACGCCUGUUUUAGAGCUGAUUGGAACUGGAAUCUGGAAAAAGAACUGAUUUACAAAACGGUUUCUACCAAUGGGAGGAAACAAUUAAGCAUCAAAAGGAUUAUUUGUUAUAGUUCUACAUAGACCGUCUACAAAAGAGUUACCACCUAGACAAAGAACCAUUUAGUAACCAUAGUACAUUGUCAUGGUUAUAUAAAACACCAUUUGUGAAAAGGGUUUCAUUGUAUACAAAAGUAUCAUUUAAGCAAUCAAUUCCAUCCAGGAAAAGAACAAUUUAAUCUAUCAGAUGAUAAUUUGUCCUGGAUCUGUAAAGACCAGUAUGGUAAGGGUUUUUGAUCAAUGCAAAUAAGCCUUUGACAAGAUAAAGAGAAAAACAUUUAGGCAUUAAACCAGUUCUUUAAGUUGCCAUGGUUGAGUAAAAAAAACAUCUGCAGAAUGGGUUUCUUCAAAGUAAACAACCAAAGGUUCUAGUCUGUAAAGAUCCAUCUGCAGAACAGGUUAAUCUAAAGUAAAGAAGCAAAAGUUCUAGUCUGCAGAAUGGGGUUCUCUAAAGCAAAGAACCAAAAGUUCUAGCCUGUAAAGAACAUUAGUUUCUCUACUGUAAAGAAUCAAAGGUUCUAGUGGUUAUAAAAUCUUUAAAGAAUCAUCUACUAAAGGUUUCUCCAGAGUGUUGUUUAGACCUGGCAAAGAACUCAGCAUGUAUUUGUUGUUUAAGUUAUCAUGGUUAAAUAUAGACCCAUCUUCAUAAAGGUUUUUACCAUGGCUAAAAACCCUUUAGCUUAACAUCAGAAUCAUUAAACAUCAGAAAAACAUCCAGUAAAAUAUUUUUAAGGGGUUUUGCUUACAAAUGUUGUGGUUGAUUUCAGCACCUUGGCCAGGGACUGUGGGACGAACCAGACCAGAUGUAUACAGUGUGACAUGAAUUUUGGUUUGGACUUUGGUGCUGAGGUUCAGGCAUGACAAUGCCUAUAGAUGUCUCAGUAAUGCUGAUCAAUUUCUGUGUUUUAUAAGUGUCUGUCUAGAUAUUGACAUUGACAGAAACACUCAGAUCAGUACCACUAAUCUUGCCUCUGUACAGUAUAUCACGGCACUGUAAUUGAAAUUGAGUAAUCAAGAUGUGAUACACAACGUGUAGAUUUCAGCUUUUUUUUUAUUUUAUUAAGUGUUUAGGAAUCACAGCUGCUUUUUGCAAAGUGUCUCUGUUUACAAUGACUGGCUUAUAAGCAAAUUCAUAUAUAUCGCAAGACAAAUCUGUAUCACACUUCACAGCAUUUGUGUUACUGAAGAGGAUAAAAUACUCCUAAAUAAACAAAUACCAGGAAUUAUGGAUUUAUUAGUG